rnacentral:rRNA from 1 species
ACAUGCAAGUCGAACGGCAGCACAGUAAGAGCUUGCUCUUAUGGGUGGCGAGUGGCGGACGGGUGAGGAAUGCAUCGGAAUCUACUCUUUCGUGGGGGAUAACGUAGGGAAACUUACGCUAAUACCGCAUACGACCUACGGGUGAAAGCCGGGGACCUUCGGGCCUGGCGCGAAUGAAUGAGCCGAUGCCCGAUUAGCUAGUUGGCGGGGUAAUGGCCCACCAAGGCGACGAUCGGUAGCUGGUCUGAGAGGAUGAUCAGCCACACUGGAACUGAGACACGGUCCAGACUCCUACGGGAGGCAGCAGUGGGGAAUAUUGGACAAUGGGCGCAAGCCUGAUCCAGCCAUACCGCGUGGGUGAAGAAGGCCUUCGGGUUGUAAAGCCCUUUUGUUGGGAAAGAAAAGCAGCCGGUUAAUACCUGGUUGUUCUGACGGUACCCAAAGAAUAAGCACCGGCUAACUUCGUGCCCGCAGCCGCGGUAAUACGAAGGGUGCAAGCGUUACUCGGAAUUACUGGGCGUAAAGCGUGCGUAGGUGGUUGUUUAAGUCUGUCKUGAAAGCCCUGGGCUCAACCUGGGAAUUGCGAUGGAAACUGGGCGACUAGAGUGUGGCAGAUGAUAGUGGAAUUCCUGGUGUAGCAGUGAAAUGCGUAGAGAUCANGAGGAACAUCCGUGGCGAAGGCGACUGUCUGGGCCAACACUGACACUGAGGCACGAAAGCGUGGGAGCAAACAGGAUUAGAUACCCUGGUAGUCCACGCCCUAAACGAUGCGAACUGGAUGUUGGGUGCAAUUUGGCACGCAGUAUCGAAGCUAACGCGUUAAGUUCGCCGCCUGGGGAGUACGGUCGCAAGACUGAAACUCAAAGGAAUUGAC